UACAGAGGGUGCGAGCGUUGUUCGGAAUUAUUGGGCGUAAGGGCGCGUAGGCGGCGCCACAAGUCACUUGUCGAAACUCUGGGCUCAACUCAGAGCCUGCAAGCGAAACGUGUGGUGCUGGGAGUAUGGGAGAGGCGCGUGGAAUUCCCGGUGUAGCGGUGAAAUGCGUAGAUAGUCGAGAGGAACACCUGUGGCGAAAGCGGUUCUCUGGGCCUUACCUGACGCUGAGGAGCGAAAGCGUGGGGAGCGAACAGG
rnacentral:rRNA from 1 species